UACGGGGGGGGCAAGCGUUGUUCGGAAUUACUGGGCGUAAAGGGCUCGUAGGCGGCCAACUAAGUCAGACGUGAAAUCCCUCGGCUCAACUGAGGAACUGCCUUUGAAACUGUACGGCUUGAGGCCGGGAGGGGGUAGCGGAAUUCCCAGUGUAGCGGUGAAAUGCGUAGAUACUGGGAGGAACACCAGUGGCGAAGGCGGCUCCCUGGACCGGUUCUGACGCUGAGGCGCGAAAGCGUGGGUAGCAAACAGG
rnacentral:rRNA from 1 species